GCCCUUAUGGCCAAGUGGUAAGGCGUCCGUCUUGUACCAUCUACACUACAACGGAAGAUCUCUUGUUCGAUCCAGGAUGGGGGCA
rnacentral:tRNA from 1 species